UACAGAGGUCUCAAGCGUUGUUCGGAUUUACUGGGCGUAAAGCGUCCGCAGGUGGCUAUGUAAGUCUGCUGUUAAAGAGUCUAGCUCAACUAGAUAAGAGCAGUGGAAACUACAAGGCUAGAGUACGUUCGGGGCAGAGGGAAUUCCUGGUGUAGCGGUGAAAUGCGUAGAGAUCAGGAAGAACACCGGUGGCGAAGGCGCUCUGCUAGGCCGCAACUGACACUGAGGGACGAAAGCUAGGGGAGCGAAUGGG
rnacentral:rRNA from 1 species